AGUACCCUCUCACUACUGAAUCUG
rnacentral:snRNA from 1 species